CCUACGGGAGGCAGCAGUGGGGGAUAUUGCACAAUGGGGGGAACCCUGAUGCAGCGACGCCGCGUGGGUGAAGAAGCGCCUCGGCGCGUAAAGCCCUGUCAGCAGGGAAGAAAAUGACGGUACCUGAAGAAGAAGCCCCGGCUAACUACGUGCCAGCAGCCGCGGUAAUACGUAGGGGGAAAGCGUUAUCCGGAUUUACUGGGUGUAAAGGGGGCGCAGACGGCGAUGCAAGCCAGGAGUGAAAGCCGGGGGCCCAACCCCGGGACUGCUCUUGGAACUGCGUGGCUGGAGUGCAGGAGGGGCAGGCGGAAUUCCUGGUGUAGCGGUGAAAUGCGUAGAUAUCAGGAGGAACACCGGUGGCGAAGGCGGCCUGCUGGACUGCAACUGACGUUGAGGCCCGAAAGCGUGGGGAGCAAACAGGAUUAGAUACCCGUGUAGUC
rnacentral:rRNA from 1 species